UGGGGAAUAUUGCGCAAUGGGGGAAACCCUGACGCAGCCAUGCCGCGUGAGUGAUGAAGGCCUUAGGGUCGUAAAGCUCUUUCGCCUGUGAAGAUAAUGACGGUAGCAGGUAAAGAAACCCCGGCUAACUCCGUGCCAGCAGCCGCGGUAAUACGGAGGGGGUUAGCGUUGUUCGGAAUUACUGGGCGUAAAGCGCACGUAGGCGGACCAGAAAGUUGGGGGUGAAAUCCCGGGGGCUCAACCCCGGAACUGCCUCCAAAACUAUUGGUCUAGAGUUCGAGAGAGGUGAGUGGAAUUCCAAGUGUAGAGGUGAAAUUCGUAGAUAUUUGGAGGAACACCAGUGGCGAAGGCGGCUCACUGGCUCGAUACUGACGCUGAGGUGCGAAAGUGUGGGGAGCAAACAGGAGUUAGAUACCCUGGGUAGUCCACACCGUAAAACGAUGAAUGCCAGUCGUCGGGUAGCAUGCUAUUCGGUGACACACCUAAC
rnacentral:rRNA from 1 species